rnacentral:rRNA from 1 species
AUUGAACGCUGGCGGCAGGCCUAACACAUGCAAGUCGAGCGAGCGCCGGGCGGGUGAGUAUUGUCUGGGAGACUGCCUGAUGGAGAGGGAUAACUACCGGAAACGGUAGCUCAUACACCAUACCCUCUGAUGUGCCCCCAGGGGAGAAGCUAGUAGGUGGGGUAACGGCUCACCAAGGCGACGAGCCCUAGCUGGUCUGAGAGGAUGACCAGCAACACUGGAACUGAGACACGGCCCAGACUCCUACGGUAGGCAGCAGUGGGGAAUAUUGCACAAUGGGCGCAGGCCUGAUACAGCAAUGCCGCGUGUGUGAAGAAGGCCUUCGGGUUGUAAAGCACUUUCAGCGGGGAGGCGUUACCCGCAGAAGAAGCACCGGCUAACUCCGUGCCAGCAGCCGCGGUAAUUC